CCCUUAGAUGUUCUGGGCCGCACGCGUGCUACACUGAGUGGAUCAGCGGGUCAGGUUGCGCGAAAGUGUUUCCUAAUCUUGAAAUCCGCUCGUGAUGGGGAUUGACGGUUGCAAUUUUCCGUCAUGAACGAGGAAUACCUUGUAAGCGCGGGUCAUCAUCCCGCGCUGAAUACGUCCCUGCCCUUUGUACACACCGCCCAUCGCUCCUACCGAUUGAGUGGUCCGGUGAGGCUUUGGGAUCUGAGCAAAGAGAGCGUUUCGCUCGUUUUGCCCGGAAAACUCAGUCGAACCUUAUCAUUUAGAGGAAGGAGAAGUCGUAACA
rnacentral:rRNA from 1 species